GGAACAGCAGAUAUGCAGGUUGCAAAUGUCAGUUUAAUUCAGGAGCUGCUAUAUUUAUAGUCAAAUUAAUGACACGGAGGAUAGUGAUGACAAUAGUAAUAAUCGGAUGAACUCCGCCUCUUGUCCUCUGGGGUUCGACACAGGGCCUCGUCCGUCAUGUCAAAGUCAGCAUGUCUUGAUCGAACAGGGUGGUCCCCAUCCCUCCUCCUCUGCUUGUUAUGUCGAUGAUUGGAUGGCCAGUCUCUUAAACCCCCAUGAGGACUUAGGCCAUUACUGCCCCUGUCCUGACCCCUGCAUGGUGCCACUGGGGGACUGUGGGCAGAGCUGCAUGAUGUAAAACUGGGACUGUGGGAAUGAGGACUCAGAGAGCGGCUGAUGGGGCUGCGAGAGCGUGCUCUGUCUGGAAGGUUCUUGCAUCUUAUCCCUGUCCCGCUGUGAGGUAAUAUCCUGGAUGAUUGAUUGAACAUCUUUACCUGGUUUCUGCAAAGUAAAAAUAUUCGUGCUUGUCCACAGACUGUGGACAGCUCCACGCUGCGCUCCGGUUCGGUCUGUCUGCAAGUUAGCCGGGGAUAAUUUUGGGCUCGUUUCACCUCACUUAUCAUCUGCUGCGUGCUUUUCAAGACAUCUGCCUGCAUGAUGAACAUCUAUCAACAGCUGCCAUUUCCCAGUCCUGGUCCAAACAAAACAGUUUUAGAGAAGAGGCCAAGUGACUGUGAGACUGUGGUUCAAAAUCAAAAACGUGUCUACAGCUCUGCUCCCGAGAAUAAAUAUGAAGGCUCAGAAAAUGUUGGGGUUUACAUUCAUGUUUGCUGAUCUUUUCGUCAUUCAG